CAGUCGCCGCGGUAAUACGUAGGGUGCGAGCGUUAAUCGGAAUUACUGGGCGUAAAGCGUGCGCAGGCGGUUAUAUAAGACAGAUGUGAAAUCCCCGGGCUCAACCUGGGACCUGCAUUUGUGACUGUAUAGCUAGAGUACGGUAGAGGGGGAUGGAAUUCCGCGUGUAGCAGUGAAAUGCGUAGAUAUGCGGAGGAACACCGAUGGCGAAGGCAAUCCCCUGGACCUGUACUGACGCUCAUGCAUGAAAGCGUGGGGAGCAAACAGGAUUAGAGACCCCUGUAGUCCCUGUCUCUUAUAC
rnacentral:rRNA from 1 species